GGCAGUGUGGUGUAGUGGUUUGAAUGUUGAACUAUGACUCUUGGGAUCAGGGUUUGAUUCUCAGCUUAGCCA